rnacentral:rRNA from 1 species
UACAGAGGUCUCAAGCGUUGUUCGGGAUUCAUUGGGCGUAAAGGGUGUGUAGGUGGCGCGCUAAGUCGGGUGUGAAAUUUCGGAGCUUAACUCCGAAACUGCAUUCGAUACUGGCGUGCUUGAGGACUGGAGAGGAGACUGGAAUUCAUGGUGUAGCAGUGAAAUGCGGUAGAGAUCAUGAGGAAGACCAGUGGCGAAGGCGGGUCUCUGGACAGUUCCUGACACUGAGGAGCGAAAGCAUGGGGGAGCGAA